AGCCAGGAAUCAGUCAUAGCUCCCCAAGGUUGGCCUCUUGCCAUCUCUCAGAUCAAGUACGCCCACGGACAGCGAAGCAGGGUAUGCUCAGUCAUCUCAUCCUUCAAUCUACAGACUAGAUAAGCAACCAGAAGCUCCAUGCCUCUGUCUCUGAGAAGUGUCCGCAUCGAAAGUCGAUCACAGGCAACCUUACAAAGAAAGAGUCUAACCCUGGGAUGUUCCGCCACCCACC
rnacentral:lncRNA from 1 species